rnacentral:lncRNA from 1 species
AUACAUCAAAUAUAUAUCCAACACUUCCAUAAUCACAAAUUUUUCAACCCCACAUAUGAUCCAUACUUGUCUUUAAGCAACAUACUAGCAACAAAAAUACAUUUAAAAUGAAGGGAGAAUGCUUAUUUCAAACAAAAAGCCACUCUAAUAUAUGACUUGACUUGCUUAUUCACCUCGAACUUUAUCCAAUUGCGUUUUGGUGUAGGUGUCCUUCCGUUUCAUAAGUCUCACAUACUGAAAUAAACAUGAAAAGAGCAUAUAAAAUGGAAACAUAAACAACAGGAAUAUGAACAUAAGAUUAAAAAGUGUAAGGUACUAAAUUUGCAUAAGAUAUCACUUCAAAUCACCCAAUAUACAUAUUUGCAAAAUCAUAUUGGCGAGCAGUUUAUACUCAAGAUAAAAUUGAGAUUUCAUUGUAUAACUCAACCAACAAAAGAAUUUUCCAAAAUCCAUAUAUGAAAAAUCAUAUUCUUGAGCAGUUCAUUAACAAAAAAUCAGAUUUCAUAUUAUAACACAACCAUCCAAACACUAAUUGCUCAAUAAUCUUUUCAGUCAUACUCAAAAUCAAUUGUAGAUUAGAGAUCAAUAAUUCAGUUUAAUAUUAUAACACAAUUUGCAUAACCAUACCUGCAAUCGCUCAACUGACAAGCAAGUUCUCAACAAGGCAUUGCAAUAAUAUCCACAUUCCAUAAUCUGAUUACCAAAAAAAAAGGAAUACAACUCCAAAAACAAAAUUAUUAUAGGGUCAAUGAGGUAAAUUUUCAACCCUAAGAAUAACAAAACAAAAUCUUUGAAUCUAAACAGAACAAUGUUAUUAACAGAACAAGAUUCUUAGCCCAUAUGUUAUCAAACAAUAGUGAUAGCGACCACUCACCAUCCACAAUAUGCCUCUGAUGAUAUCCUUACAAAAGGUGUGCCUCCAACAAGUCCUGUUUGAAUACCAUGAUCCAACUUCAUUUUAUUUAUAAAAUAAAAAAUAAAAAAAAGAACUUUUAUACCAGGAAAAGCAAAAAAUACAGAAGAACAAAAACAAGAGUGGCCAAGAAGUUCACAGGAAUACCAGAAAAACAAAACAUCAUGAUCUGCAGACUAGUGUUAGGCAUGACUAGUAAUUAGUGAACCAAAUAUAGAGCUAGGUAGGUUUUUGAGUAAGUGAUUUUACUAUGCCAAAUAGAGCAAUGGAGAAACUAAAAUUUCACUAACCAACUUGGCCUUCAAGCCCAUUCAAUGAUUCAAGCAGUGACAACAAAACACCUCUACAACCAAGCAUAAAUAGCUUCACUGUAAUAAUCCAAUAUGAUCCAAAAACUGCAAUAUAACAGAGGAAACAAGUACUUGGCUGACUGAUCCAAACAAUGGAAACAAUUGAAACAUUUAAACCCACAUAGAUCCAAACAAGCCAAUAUGCCCUGCUAAACAAAAGUUUAACUUAAAAAAAUCAGGAUACAACUCUAAUUUCUAAAAUGGAUGUCCAUUUUUAGAAAUAGUAUAGUUUUUGAAUUGCAAUCCAAAACAAGGAAAUUUCUCACAAAAAUACUACAGCAAAAGUGAAGCAAAGUGAAGCUAAUUUUUCACAAAAAUACACAGAUCCACAUUCAAACCCUAAUGCACUAUUUGGUUGCUCAGAAAUUGAAUCUAAAAUGACACAUGCAGCUAAAUUUUUUAAUUCGAUUUCCAUUAUCCGCUUAACUUAAGUGAAGCCACUAAUUAUUAUAUAAUCUAUAACAGCAUAAAACAUAAAAAUGGAAGAUUUUCCCUUUUUCUUGCCUAAAAUUCCCAGCAACCAAACAGAGGAUAGAUAGAAAAUAACAACCCAACAAACAACCUAACAAUGAAAUUUCUCAAUAACUCCCAAAGAAAAAGCAAUACCCAUAAAAAAUUACCUUUGAAAAAUGUGGCAGAGAGAGAGAGCAUAUGAGAAAGAGAGCCGAAGUCGCGAACGAGAGAGCCGGAGUCGUG